rnacentral:tRNA from 1 species
GCCUUCGUGGUGUAGUGGUCAGCCCACUCGACGCGUAACCGAGUGGUCCGUGGUUCGACUCCCGGCGAAGGCG